AUCCGGAGGGUGCGAGCGUUAAUCGGAAUUACUGGGCGUAAAGCGUGCGUAGGCGGUUUGCUAAGUCAGAUGUGAAAGCCCCGGGCUUAACCUGGGAACUGCAUUUGAUACUGGCAGACUAGAGUAUGAUAGAGGGGGGUAGAAUUCCUGGUGUAGCGGUGAAAUGCGUAGAUAUCAGGAGGAAUACCAGUGGCGAAGGCGGCCCCCUGGAUCAAUACUGACGCUGAGGUACGAAAGCGUGGGGAGCGAACAGGAUUAGAAACCCUUGUAGUCC
rnacentral:rRNA from 1 species